AAAAAAUUGUAAUAAAUAUUAAAUUUAAUAAUAAUAAAAUAAAUUUAAUUAUGGUUUUAGAAUUAAUUUAAAAAUUUUUAUAUAUAUAAUUUAAAGAGAUAAUUUAAAUUAAAUAUUUAAAUUAAUAAUUUAGUAUAUAGAAUUAAAAAAUUUAAAAAAUUAAAUAUUAGAAAUUUUUUUUAAUUUAGAUAAAUAAUUGUGCCAGCAAUCGUGGUUAAACAAUUUAAGUGAAUUAAUUAAAUUAAAUUUAAAUAAAUAAAUAAUAAAUUAAAUAUUAAAAAUUAGAUUUAUUAGGUGAAAUUAAUUAAAUUUAAAAAUAAAUAUUUUAAAAAAAAAUAUUAGAAUUUUAGAAAAUUUUUUUAAAACUAGGAUUAGAUACCCUAUUAUAUAAUUUAAAAGAAAAGGUUUGAGUAUUAAAUGAUUAAUCAUUAAAUUUAAAUAAUUUGGCGGUAUUUUAAUUUUAUUAGAGGAACUUGUUUAAUAAUUGAUAAUCCACGAAAGGAGAUACUUUAAUUAAAAUUUUUAUAUUGUUGUUUAAAGAAUAUUUUUAAAAAAUAAAUAUUUAAAAUAUUUAAGGAAAAAUAAUAAUUCAGAUCAAAAUGAAGUGAAUAUUAAAGAAAAUUAAUGAGUUACAAUAAAUUUAAUUUAUAAUGAAUUUUUAAUUUUAAAAAUUUUAAUGAAGGUGGAUUUAAAAGUAAAAUAAAAUAAUUAUUUUAUUUGAUUAAAAUUAUAAAAUAUGUACAAAUUGCCCGUCGUUCCCUUUGAAAGAAGGGGUAAGUCGUAACAAAGUAAAAGUACUGGAAAGUGUUUUUAGAGGAAA
rnacentral:ncRNA from 1 species